rnacentral:snRNA from 1 species
GUGUGGCAGCACAUACACGAAAAUUGGAACGACACAGAGAAGAUUAGCAAGGCCUCAGUGCUAGGAUGACAUGCAGAUUCGUGAAGUGUUCCACGUUUUA